rnacentral:lncRNA from 13 species
CAAAGACACAUCUUUGGCAAUUCAUAUGGUUCCGGUUAUAUUGGCGUAAUUCUGCAAGCGUAUCCUCCUUCAACCACAGAGGAGAACUCAUCUACCUCCAUAGUUUAAUAAACAUUUGCAGCUUUUAACACGGGAGGUGAGGAAUUGGGCGGGCAGCGGGUUUGGGAGACCCUCUGAGCCGCACGCUGGGAGGUGACAGCCACCGGCAGCUCCGGGAGCUCCUCGGCCCCCGCCCGUCCCCGCUGCGUCCAGCGCCGGCAAAGGUGGGUGCGAUGGAGCCCUGUCCUGCCAGGGCUUUCCAAACCCUCUCCCCCUUCUCUGUCCCCCCCUCCACCCCGCUCCAGCCCCGGGAAUGAGGAUCCUGCUCCCCCAAAUAUCCCGGCACAAGUUUGGGAGCAUCCCGGGGACCAUGUGGUUGAUCCAUGUGGAUGCUGGCAGGAGCUGGGGCGUUCGUGCCCUGGGGGUGCAGGGUCCCCCCUUUCAGAGGGCGCUGAUGGGGUGCAGUUCGUGGAUCCGAGAUUCCCGGAGGAAUCCGGCUGUCCCCGGGGGAUCAGGGAAGCGGAACGUCCCGGGGUCUGUGCGCUCCCGUUGUUUUCAGGAGCGGAAUCGGUGCCGGGAGAGGGAUGGGAAGAGGAAGGAAAAGUCCCGGGGGGGAGGGACGGGAGAGUUCCGGGAGAGCUCCGGGUGAGCUCCUCAGGAGGGGAUCGGCUCCCGCCGGAGACUGGGCUGCAGGAUUGGGGUGCAGAGGUGCAGGAUUGGGGUGCAGAGGUGCAGGGCUCUCCGUCGCACCCCCCUCCGUGCUCCAGCGCUGCUUUGCAGGACCUGAGGCUGACACCCCAGCGGAUCCCGGGCCGGCAGCCAGGACGGCCCUCGGGCAGGAUGUUCCCCCCGCCGGGCUGCAGGAGGGGCUUCCCCAGGGAGCCCGGCCCGUGGUGGGAUGGGCCAGGGCCGUGCCCCCCUCCUGGCCCUGAGGACGCCUGGGAUGAGCCACCCUGGGAGCACCAGCGCUGGCGGUGCCCGGUAAGGGACAGGGCUGGGGGGAGAUGUCACAGGGAUGUGUCACAGGGAUGUGUCACAGGGAUGUGUCACAGGCGCUGCGGGAGCUUCCGAGUUUGUCAGGGAGACCUUCCCGGGGAGCUGCCAAGGGAGGGGACCCCUUGGCUCUCUAAACUCCUUCCUCAAAAAGAGGCUGGAUGUGUCUGGAUCCAGUUGUGGACCCCCAGGCUCCCAAAACUCCCGAGAGGAGUCUGGACACAUCUGGAUCCAGUUGUGGACCCCCAGGCUCCCGAAACUCCCAAGAGGAGUCUGGACACAUCUGGAUCCAGUUGUGGACCCCCAGGCUCCCGAAACUCCCGAGAGGAGUCUGGACACAUCUGGAUCCAGCUGUGGAGCUGGCCAGCAGUUUGUGUCUAAAGGAUUCCACAGCUUCGCCCCCCAGGAUUAAGAAUGGCAAAACAAAUGUAUUUACAUCGGUAAAAUAAAUAAUUUAUUUCGAUGGAUGGUGCCUAAAGGACCUCAGUCAGUUACCUGAUUAAUAGCCAGGGCGCUGUUAAUUAAACCGAUAGUUUCAAAGUUAAAUUAGCAAUUGUGAAGUGGAGGUUGGUGCUACUCACCCAGACCCACACAAAACUCUUCGGCUCGGCCUCGAGGAGUGGCCUUGAAGGGCUCCAGAAAGGAAUCCACGCUCGCUCCUAGGAGGGCCGUGCUGGAAUCCCGCUGUUCUGAAGUGGGAUUGAGCUUUUAUAGCGUGGACUGAGGGAUGUUGGGCAUUUUGGGAGCCAUUUGUGCUUAAAUCAGUGAUUGCUGCCCUCUGGUUCCUCCCAGGAAACAUCUGCCCCCCACAUCCCUGCCGGUGCCAGCUGCUCUCAGGGUUUCACAUCCCUCUGGGGUUUCGUUUUGGAAUAUUUGAGUCAGGCUGCUCUCAGUGUUCUCCAGCACCGCUGGCAGCCUCAUCCCCCCUCCACUGCUGCCAAUUUUCACAGUUAGGUGAAAUCUGAGCUGUUUCACCCGAACUGCAUCCUGCAGCAAGGAGGGACUCACCUGCCCAGCCAGGGCAGCCCAAAGCAGGGGCUCCCCCAGAGCAGGAGAGGCAGAAAGAGCUGAGGGUCGCAGUGGGGAGGGGGAACAGCAAGAAAACCACAACAUCCCAGUGGAUUUUGUCCUUACCAGUGGCUGUUCCCAUUGCAGCCUCAUCGCAGGGCCCCGGGACCCAUCCCUGGCCCUGGUGACAGCCCUUGGAACGAGGAGGAGGACACGGGGUGGGCACCCCACGACUGUCCCCCGCCACCCCCUUGGGAUGACAGAGACUUCCAAGGACCUGAGGACGGCUUUGGAGAGGGCUGGCACCCGGUGAGGGGGAGAUGGGCUGGGGGGUGGUGGCAGCCACAGGACCGAGUGGGUAAAAUGGACAAGGACAGCGUGUGGGGACCCUCUGUGCUGUGCAGCCACAGCUCCCCCUGUCCCAUUCCCUGCCUAAACCCACCCCCUUCCCCGCAGGAGCUGCCCCCAGAGCCCUGGCCUGAAUUCCCCGAGGAGGAGCAGCCCCCACCCUGGCCCCCCGCCAGCCCUCCACGGUGGGUGCCGGGCUCGGGGGGCUCGGGGGGUCUGUGUGCCUGUGGGGUGGCACUCGGGGCCACCAGGGCUGGGCACAGCCACGGGUGACGCGGUGAAAGCUGUCCCCACCUCGGCUGGGAUUGCACAGAGACCCCUCCCAGCCUAAACCCCCCCCACCCUGGGGCUGUGCUCCUGCAGGAUCCGAGGAGCUUUCCGGGGACACCGCCCGCCCUGGAGCUGCCCCCGCCGGGGUGGGAGACGCGGCCGCCGCCCCCGCAGGAGCCACCACCGGCAGCUGACCCUGGUUCCCCGGGUGUGGUGUCCCCGGCCCCCCCGAGGUCUGUGCUGACCCCGUGGCCUCUCCCCGGUGCUCUGCAGCCUCUCCUGGGGCAGGGUGAGGAGUCUGUCCCGCUGUUUCUCACCCUGCAGAGUACAAGCCGCACUCCAAGGCCUCUCCUGCCCUCUCCAAGAGGAGCAAGCCGGCGGCCGGGAAGGAGCUGCAGCCCCCAGAUCCUCCCCAGCCCCUUUUACCCCUCCGAGGUGCUGCGGAGAGGCCGGAACAGACACAGGUUGUGGGGUUUUACCCGUCCCCUCCCCAUCCCACGCCAGGAGUGUGCUCACCCUGAGCCUCGCACGGUGUCGUGGUUUCCUGCAGGAUGUGCCCGUGGAAGGUCUGCCUCCUGGGAAUGUCCUGGAGCCCCCCAGUCCGGCUGGGAGCCCUCCAGAGAGCCCAGCUGCCGAUGCCGGUGCUGUGACCCCGGUAGGAG